rfam:Mycobacterium shimoidei strain HMC_M2 PROKKA_contig000008, whole genome shotgun sequence.
GGUCAGUGCCUAUUCUGUCCGCCUGAAAAGCGGAAGGUCGCCGGUUCGAUCCCGGCCCUGGCCA